rnacentral:rRNA from 1 species
GACGAACGCUGGCGGCGUGCCUAAUACAUGCAAGUAGAACGCUGAAGGAGGAGCUUGCUCUUCUGGAUGAGUUGCGAACGGGUGAGUAACGCGUAGGUAACCUGCCUGGUAGCGGGGGAUAACUAUUGGAAACGAUAGCUAAUACCGCAUAACAGUAGAUGUUGCAUGACAUUUACUUAAAAGGUGCAAUUGCAUCACUACCAGAUGGACCUGCGUUGUAUUAGCUAGUUGGUGGGGUAACGGCUCACCAAGGCGACGAUACGUAGCCGACCUGAGAGGGUGAUCGGCCACGCUGGGACGAGGACACGACCCAGACUCCUACGGGAGGCAGCAGUAGGGAAUCUUCGGCGAUGGACGGAAGUCUGACCGAGCAACGCCGCGUGAGUGAAGAAGGUUUUCAGAUCGUAAGGCUCUGUUGUAAGAGAAGAACGAGUGUGAGAGUGGAAAGUUCACACUGUGACGGUAUCUGACCAGAAAGGGACGGCUAACUACGUG